UAUCAACCCCUGGGCGGAGCCUUGGACCAAUCCUGACUCGCUGAGAGUUAACCGAUUAUCAAACUAGAUACUGAUUGGCGAAAACUUAAUAGCGCAUUUAUCUUGCUGGGGUGGAGUAUGAGUGCUUCUGCGGUUUAUUGUUACUGCCGUCGAAAUUUUGUUUUUUAGUACUUUAGCAAAAUGUGUGAGAGAGAGAGAGGGGCGGAGAAUGAUGAGGAAAUAAGAAUAUAUUCAUAAAUCGAAUACACAGCAAUUCAAUGAACAUGAUGGAGGAUAUUUUGACUAUUAUCAACAAUAAUUAGUACCAUAUUGAGUUUGCCAGUGUAUUUCUUGAUGGGUGUUUGUUGCGGAGCAGCUCCUGGAGGAGAUCUUGUAUGGCUGAGCGCAGUUCAAUUCAGUUGGUGCAGUGCAGAGGAUGUUUCGUUUUUGUUUUUUUGCUGUCAUCGU